UUACCACUCUGGCCUUUUGGCUUAGAUCAAGUGUAGUAUCUGUUCUUAAUAGUUUAACCACUAUUAUGAAGGCACCGCCUUCAUUUUUGGUUAUCUAAUUUUUGCAGCCCUUGUUCCCCGUGCACUGCUUGCAACGCGGGGACGCGAUGACCUUGCCACUGCACUACCGGCUUGUGUCGUCGGGGGAUU
rfam:Dichomitus squalens LYAD-421 SS1 unplaced genomic scaffold DICSQscaffold_4, whole genome shotgun sequence.